AAUGAACGCUGGCGGCAUGCCUUACACAUGCAAGUCGAACGGCAGCAUGGCCUAGCUUGCUAGGUUGAUGGCGAGUGGCGGACGGGUGAGUAAUGCAUCGGAACGUGCCUUUUAGUGGGGGAUAACGUAGCGAAAGUUACGCUAAUACCGCAUAUUCUCUGAGGAGGAAAGCAGGGGACCUUCGGGCCUUGCGCUAGAAGAGCGGCCGAUGUCGGAUUAGCUAGUUGGUGAGGUAAAGGCUCACCAAGGCAACGAUCCGUAGCGGGUCUGAGAGGAUGAUCCGCCACACUGGGACUGAGACACGGCCCAGACUCCUACGGGAGGCAGCAGUGGGGAAUGUUGGACAAUGGGCGCAAGCCUGAUCCAGCCAUGCCGCGUGAGUGAAGAAGGCCUUCGGGUUGUAAAGCUCUUUCGGCUGGGAAGAAAUCGCACCCUCUAAUACAGGGUGUGGAUGACGGUACCAGCAGAAGAAGCACCGGCUAACUACGUG
rnacentral:rRNA from 1 species